CCUACGGGUGGCUGCAGUGGGGAAUAUUGGACAAUGGGCGAAAGCCUGAUCCAGCCAUGCCGCGUGUGUGAAGAAGGCCUUCGGGUUGUAAAGCACUUUCAUUGGGGAAGAAAGCCUUGGGGCUAAUACCCUCGAGGAAGGACAUCACCCACAGAAGAAGCACCGGCUAACUCCGUGCCAGCAGCCGCGGUAAUACGGAGGGUGCGAGCGUUAAUCGGAAUUACUGGGCGUAAAGCGCGCGUAGGCGGUCUGAUAAGCCGGUUGUGAAAGCCCCGGGCUCAACCUGGGAACGGCAUCCGGAACUGUCAGGCUAGAGUGCAGGAGAGGAAGGUAGAAUUCCCGGUGUAGCGGUGAAAUGCGUAGAGAUCGGGAGGAACACCAGUGGCGAAGGCGGCCUUCUGGACUGAAACUGACGCUGAGGUGCGAAAGCGUGGGUAGCAAACAGGAUUAGAUACCCGAGUAGUC
rnacentral:rRNA from 1 species